UUUCAUCAUUUCUUUUAGCUUCUUCUCCUCUGUGUGCACUCCCUGAAGGAAGAGCAUCUCACAUCAAGAAUUUUCCACAGAGAAGGACAAGUGCUGAAGCUCUGGCUGGGCACGGUGACAGGAUGCUUUCUGAUGCCCUGGGUUUGGAUGGUGAGUCACACUCUCAUGCACUCUCUAUCCAUGUGCCUGAGAACAUUUCUUAUAAAUGGAAUGACAUAGUAUCUGUUUAUAUGCACAUGACUGACUGUAAAACCGAGCUCUUUUGUUAAAUGGGAACUCACAAAUGUAAAGUUGAGUGGUCUCACUUGAAGCUCCACACCGAUAAUAUUGUGAAGAAAAUGUAAUCCAAAACUAAAAGCUGUAUUGAUCACGAUAGGCUGUUUUCCUGGAGUUAGAGGUAGUAUUUGACAAAGCUCAUCGUGUGUGUGUGUGUGUGUGUGUGUGUGUGUGUGUGUGUGUGUGUGUGUGUCUGUGUGUGUGUGUGUUUAGCCUCCAAAGUGGCAGGCUAAUUGACUUUCUGCUCGGCCUGUUGAUAGGCUAUGUAAAAUAAACCGCUCUGACUAUAAUAGAAUCCUGUUUUCUCCACUCAAGUUUUGGGUCAGGCUCAGACUCCCUCUACUGACCUGUCUAACUGAAAUGAAGAUCAACAUCUGAUAUAGUGUAGUAAAUUUUAGACACUCUCAGAAACACACCUGAGUAAAUUACUAGAGCACUGUAUUUAUGAAUGUACCUUCUCAUAAAAAUAAGACAAACAAAAAAAAAAAGAAAGAAAUUUAAUUAUGGUAACGUUAAGACAAUGCUGAAACAAGGAAAUAGACACAGAAAUCCAAAAAUGCCAAAUGUAAGUAUAAAUGAAUACCAGAAGAAUUCAUCAAAUCCAAUUCAAACAAGUGUAUGUCAUGUUAUUUUCACCCUUUG
ensembl:lncRNA